UAAAAUAAAAUUUAAGUAAUUUAUAAAACUAAAUAAUUUAGUAUUUUUGUUAUCGUGUGAUAUACAAAAUUCUAUAUUUAAUAUAUUUAAUGUUAUAAUAAUUUAAGGUUAUAAUGUAAAUAAACUUACAUUACUGUCCAAGGUUUCAAUUGGUAAAAAUGUAUGAGCUGCUUUGUAAGAUGUUACAAAAGUAUCAUUAUGGUUCAUCGUGUAGAAGCAUUAAAAUAUUAUAUCGGAAUUCGUAUAGUGUGUGACAUACAAUAUUUAGUCUUUAAUCUCUUGAACUGUAACCAAGAAAGGCACCAAAUUAAAAUAUGGUACAGAUCAACAAUUAAUAAAAAUUAUAUUUUAUUUUAAUAUUGACAC